GACGAACGCUGGCGGCGUGCCUAAUACAUGCAAGUUGAGCGCUGAAGGUUGGUACUUGUACCGACUGGAUGAGCAGCGAACGGGUGAGUAACGCGUGGGGAAUCUGCCUUUGAGCGGGGGACAACAUUUGGAAACGAAUGCUAAUACCGCAUAAAAACUUUAAACACAAGUUUUAAGAUUGAAAGAUGCAAUUGCAUCACUCAAAGAUGAUCCCGCGUUGUAUUAGCUAGUUGGUGAGGUAAAGGCUCAACAAGGCGAUGAUACAUAGCCGACCUGAGAGGGUGGUCGGCCACAUUGGGACUGAGACAAGGCCCAAAACCCCAAGGGAGGCAGCAGUAGGGGAUCUUCGGCAAUGGACGAAAGGCUGAACGAGCAACGCCGCGGGAGUGAAGAAGGUUUUCGGAUCGUAAAAAUCUGUUGGUUGGGAAGAAAGUUGGUGAGAGUGGAAAGCUCAUCAAGUGACGGUAACUACCCAGAAAGGGACGGCUAACUACGUG
rnacentral:rRNA from 1 species